rnacentral:sRNA from 1 species
UAACUGGUGAUUUCUGAAAAUUUCAUCAUUUUUUACAUGGGCUUCAACAGUAAUGAUACUCAGUCUCGAUUUUGUUAGUCGCAAAUAUGCAAGUCACACUUCUUUCUUGGCUCCCACAACUGUCAACGGGAACAACACUGUCACUGUCCAUUGUGCUUCCCUAUCAAUCCUGCUAUGGAUGGUAUAAAUUCGAGUCUUUUAAAUGCGAAUACAGGCCACCAAAAAUCCUUGAGGGCAAAUUACACAAACCAGUAUAUUCUCUAAAACAUUCACAUAGGAUUUUACUGAUAUCACAAUGCAAAUUCACCAAAAAUAUUUAACCAAUAAAAGCAGAAAUAUUGAAUAGGUCUACAAAUAGGAUCAAUAAUCAUAUAUACUUGAAAACAACUAUCAUGGAAACAAAGGAUGUAAUAGGAGAUAAGAUACAUCACUAAAAGCUACACAAGCAGCAAAAAAGACACUACAUUUCUUGGUUUAAAAGUUAGGUGAUACACUUGAUCUUUAAAGACAGGCAAUGAACUUGAUCUUGAAGCUCUCCAACUGUGCCCUGUCCGCAUAGAAACUGAAGCAGUAGAUGACAAGGCUAGAUGCAGUUUUACAAUGGCCUCUUUUUUUUUUUUUUUU